CCUACGGGAGGCAGCAGUGAGGAAUAUUGGUCAAUGGACGAGAGUCUGAACCAGCCAAGUAGCGUGAAGGAUGACUACCCUAUGGGUUGUAAACUUCUUUUAUAAAGGAAUAAAACGAGGCACGUGUGCCUUUUUGCAUGUACUUUAUGAAUAAGGAUCGGCUAACUCCGUGCCAGCAGCCGCGGUAAUACGGAGGAUCCGAGCGUUAUCCGGAUUUAUUGGGUUUAAAGGGAGCGUAGAUGGGUUGUUAAGUCAGUUGUGAAAGUGUGCGGCUCAACCGUAAAAUUGGAAUUGAUACUGGGAGUCUUGAGUACAGUGGAGGUAGGCGGAAUUCGUGGUGUAGCGGUGAAAUGCUUAGAUAUCACGAAGAAACCCGAUUGCGAAGGCAGCUUACUAAACUGUGACUGACAUUGAUGCUCGAAAGUGUGGGUAUCAAACAGGAUUAGAUACCCCGAGUAGUC
rnacentral:rRNA from 1 species